AUCUUGAGAGCGGCGUACGGGUGCGGAACACGUGUGCACUGCCUUUAUCUGGGGGAUAGCCUUUCGAAAGGAAGAUUAAUACCCCAUAAUAUGUUGAAUGGCAUCAUUCGACAUUGAAAACUCCGGUGGAUAGAGAUGGGCACGCGCAAGAUUAGAUAGUUGGUGAGGUAACGGCUCACCAAGUCUACGAUCUUUAGGGGGCCUGAGAGGGUGAUCCCCCACACUGGUACUGAGACACGGACCAGACUCCUACGGGAGGCAGCAGUGAGGAAUAUUGGACAAUGGGUGAGAGCCUGAUCCAGCCAUCCCGCGUGAAGGACGACUGCCCUAUGGGUUGUAAACUUCUUUUGUAUAGGGAUAAACCUACCCUCGUGAGGGUAGCUGAAGGUACUAUACGAAUAAGCACCGGCUAACUCCGUGCCAGCAGCCGCGGUAAUACGGAGGGUGCAAGCGUUACCCGGAUUUAUGGGUUAAAGGGUCCGUAGGCGGAUCUGUAAGUCAGUGGUGAAAUCUCACAGGUUUAACUGUGAAACUGCAUUGAUACUGGCAGGUCUUGAGUGUGUGAAGUAGCUGGGAAUUAAGUAGUGUAGUGGUGGAAAU
rnacentral:rRNA from 1 species